rnacentral:rRNA from 1 species
UACGUAGGGGGCAAGCGUUGUCCGGAAUCAUUGGGCGUAAAGCGCGUGUAGGCGGCUCGGUAAGUCUGCUGUGAAAGUCCAGGGCUCAACCCUGGGAUGCCGGUGGAUACUGUCGAGCUCGAGUCCGGAAGAGGCGAGUGGAAUUCCUGGUGUAGCGGUGAAAUGCGCAGAUAUCAGGAGGAACACCAAUGGCGAAGGCAGCUCGCUGGGACGUGACUGACGCUGAGACGCGAAGGCGUGGGGAGCAAACAGG